UAUAUUGCAAUCGAACGAUUGCAACAAUAAUUGUAACCGACUCUCUUGAGCCUAUAAAUAGGGCCUUUGCCCAAAUGAAAUAGACAAGCUAAGUUUGAGUGUUUAAGACUUGAGUUGAUCUCAACUGUCUUCUCUGUUGAAAUAGUUGUUCUAUUUCUGAAUAGCAGAGUUCUAUCCAAACUAUCCAUAUAAUCAUCUAAUCAUUCAACACAAUCCAUCAUCAAUAUAAUCCAACGUAUCAUUCAGGGUGUAUGCCUUUGACAAAGGGCUCAAUUUCAAAAAGACAUCAAUCACGAUUUCCAGAAUAUUUGGAUCGAUUAUCGGAUCCAAUUAUAAGUAUAAUUGUGGAGUCAAGAACUCAUGCGGUUGACAAUGGGUCGGAGGAAAUACAUUCAAGGACAGGUCUUCUUUAUUUCCAUGCUUUAUGACACUUCAAACUAUGAUUCCCACAUCAAGAGAUCAGGCCAUUUAAACAAGGAAGAUAUCAAGAAGAUAAUCAUAAGUUUAUGUUCUAAAGGGGUAGCCAUCCUGCUUUAGCAUUUGUUAAUGUGAUGCAAAGAACCCCAGAGAUCAUUUUCUAGAUUCUUAUGUUUGUUGGUUCUUUAAGAUCAUAAUAGGACUUCUGUCUUCAGAAGGUAGUGAUUUAAAACAUUGAUGGUGAUUGGUUUCCUUGUUUGGUGGGUUUCAACAAGGAGUACUGAAAAUGGCAAUGGAGCCUUCCAUAUUGGGGAGUGCUUUUACAGAAGGUGGCCCAGAUAGAAAAAUUAAGCUUGAUCGUAAGGAUAUUUGCAAGCUAUGUUGGAUACAUUGUAUAAACACGAAUAUCUCAGAGUCAGAGUCAUUGAUGAGCAGAUUAUACGUGUCUUUUUCCCUUCCCUGCCCUUCACUUUCCACGUGGUACUCUCUUCUUUCUUCUUCGCUGAAACUCCGCCGCUUUUGCUUUUCGUUGUUCGUUCUUUUCUUCCCCAGUUGAAGAUUAGGUUUUUCUGAUUGGCUUCUGAUAAAACUCAACGAUGGACCGGUGACUCCUUUGAUCGAUAGAAAGAGUACAGAACAUCAAGGAGCAAAAUGAUGAAUGAUGAAGCAACAGUGCUUUUACCCAUUAACACCCCUAUUUUCCGACAUUACCCCUCUAUUGGCCACUCAAAUUACAUGUUAUUUAACAUUAUUUUUUACGAAUUGUCACUAAUGAAAUUAUUUUAUCGUCGUUUUAGUUAUGUAUGUCAGCAUGUUCUUGCAAAAGUGGAACCACAAGAUAUUGAAGAAGUCAAGUCUGCUAAACGCCAUCUUUUCCAUGAUAAGACACUCCCAUCUUUCUUCUAGGAUUUUUUCUUGUGCCUACUGUAAGAGAUAAAUUAACCAUUUAAUUUUCAUGAUUUUUUUAUCUUGACAAAAAUAUUUAUUAAUCACAGAAAUAUAAACCAAGUGUAUGUGUACAUGUUUGUGUUUUGUUUUGGUUUUUGAUGUUGCAAAUGUGAUUCUUAUGCAGGUUCUUACAAACUCUCAUUCACUGUGUGUUGCAUAACAAGCUUCAUAUUUAUACAAGUUUUAUUUGAUAAAAAUAAAUAUGUUACUAGAAUUGCAACUAAUAUCAUCAAAAUUGGGAAAGAUGGCUCGAAAAAGAUAAUUUUCUUUAAGGUGUCUCUCCUAUUUUGUGGACGAAUACGGGUAUUAAUAUUAUAUUAGUAUUACUAUUGGACCAUAAGGAUCAAGAUAGGAACAAACAUAGUUGGUAAGGUAACAAUCCUAACUAUUCGUUUCCUAAUGUAUAGAUAAUUCUAUUUUUUUUUUCUUUUUUAAGGUUUUUCUUUUUAUAAGUACAAAGAAAGUUUUAAGAAUACAUCAUGAUUUCAUAAUUGCAUCACCUGUUUGUGUCAUUAUAAACACAGUCUUGCACCAUUUUAUCAUGUAUAUGUUGGUUUUAAGAGAAAUUGAUGGAAUGGUUGUUAAAUUAUAAUGCUUUCUUCCCAUGUUUGUUUCUUUUUAUGUUAUUUUUGUUGUAUGUGCUAAAUUAUAAAUAAACUAAGUAAUUGGGACUUAUAUUACUGAAAAACAAGACUUGAUCAUUUAGGUAAAAUUAUAUUCAAACAUUUUUUAUUAAAUUUCUUAGGUUGUAGGCGAGAAGAAAGCUCAUAAUAACAUAAAUGAUGAGGUAGAACCAAUUGAUCACUAUGUCCAUAACUGUUGGAAGAACUUGAGCAUACUGAGUAUGGCUGCUCAUUCAUGGGUUGAAGAGAGGGAUUUCUCAAAUGAUGAUGAAAAAGAUGCAGAACAUUUUGCAGCUGCUAAUGGUGAGGAAGAUAUAUAUGGUCAGUGAGCUUUUGUUUGAUGUUUCAUCUCUAUAAUAAUCAGAUCUUUUUUGUGUUUUUGAAUGAUAUUAUUAAUAAUCUAUGCAGCAAUUUUGUUUGGUAUUUGUUUUUACGACUUAUUCAUUCAGUUUUUCUCAUCAGUUGACGUUAAUCUCCUUAAAAAUCAGAUUUUUUUUUUUUUUUUUUUUUUGUGUUUUUUUAUGAGAUUGUUUGAUGCUUCCUCUUUUGAAUCACGUUGGACUCUGAUCCAAAAAUUCGAUAUAUUUUGUGUUUUCUAAUGAUAUUAUUCAUAGUUUAUGCAUGAUUUUUGGAUAUUUUUUGAAGAGUUUUUGAGAAUUUUCGUGAAUUGUCACGGAAUGGAAUCUCAAUACUUGAGAUUGAAACGAUAUUUUUGCAAGAAGUUUUAGAUCCUAACAAUUAGGCGGCAGUAGGGGUGAGCAAAAGGACCGAACCGGCCGGAACCGGACCUGACCCGGGAACCGACUUCGGCCGAAAUUAAGAACCGAACCGGCCCGGCGGUUCUACCGGUUUCCGGUUCCUACCGGUUCUUGUCGUGUCUUCAAAUGUUGGAACCGGUCCUUGAAAAAUAGCAUCAUACGGUUCCGGUUUUUGCCGGUUCUACCGGUUCCGGUUAUAUCGGUUCCUGUUCCUACCGGUUCCCGGUUCCUAAAAUCCACAAAAAUAACGUCUCAGUCCCGACAUGACCGGUUCCAUCGGGUUCCAGUUCCGGUGCCAGUUCCGGUUCCGGUUGGUUUCCCGGUCCAUAUGCUCAUCCCUAGGCAGCAGAAUUCUCAUAUUGCCCUUUUCAUAAAUUUAAUAUUAUUAGAUGUGUUGUUGUGAUGGGAGUAAUAAACAAAAAUAACAACAAAUCUACAAAAAAGUACAUUCCGACCCAUGCAAAGCAUGGGUCUCUACACUAGUUAUAAAAUAUUUUUAGAAAUUUUUGAUCAUCUUAUUUUCUUAAUGUAAUUUAGUUUGUCGGUUGCAAAAUUCACAUUUUUAUUUGUAAAGUUAUAAAAAUAUCAUAAUUAAUUUACACACACUAAACUUCGGUUGCAAAAUUCAUAUUUUGAUCAAUAAAGUUAUAAUAGUUGCAUAAUUAAUUCCCACAUACUAAACUUCGGUAUCUAUUCUUUUAUAUAUUUACUAGUUGUGAGACACAUGUAUUAUAUGGAUUAACUUAAAAAAAAGUUAUAUAUAAAAGUUUAAAUAUUAAAGAAUUUUAAAUUUAUAAGAAAACAAGAAAAAAAUGAAUUAUUAAAAUUGAAAUGUUUUUUUAUUUUAUUUUAAAUUUAAAUAAAUAAUUUAAAUAAAUAACAAAAGAAAUUAAUAAGCUUUAGGGGGUGUUUGGGAUAUCUUUUAUACCUUAAAAGUCCUUUCGGUAAAAGUACUUUUGGUAAAAGGACUUUCUCAAAAAGUAGGCUUUUAAAAGUGUUUGGUAUGCAAAAGCAAAAAGUCUCAAAAAGAUACAAAUGCGUGUCUUUUGUCUAGCCUUCAUUUCCUUCUAGGCUAAAAGUUAAAAUGAAAAGGACUUUUCAAUUUGCCAAAUGACUUUUAGGGUUUUUUAACUUUUUGAAAAAGAUAAAGUCAAAAAGUUGUUUAAAAAGAUAUCCCAAACACCCUCUUAAUUUGGGAAUUUUGAAAUUAGAAUGUUAGUCCAUUAAUGAAAUUGAUAUCUAUUUAUUAAUACGUUUAUUGUAAUUAUUACAUUAAAAUACUAUAUGAAAUUUAAUAAAAAAAAAAAAAAAAAAACCCAUAAAAUGACAUGUGAAAAAAAAUUAAUUCAAAAUAACCAAAAAUUGAUAUUUGGCAAAUUGAAUGAGAAUAUAACAUGUGACAAAAAAACCUUCAUUUAUUAUAAUAGAUGUUUUAAAUGAAUGUCAUUGCAGAGACGAUUACUGACUUCGUUCGAUUAACAACGCAUUCAUGAGAUGAUGGAGGCAGAAAAUGACCUAAUUUCGGAGACAAUGUCUUUUAAUACGGGGUAAACCUUAUAAGCCAUAUAACAAAUCACAUUCCCCUAUCACAACACCAUCAUCAUUGACCAUCAAACACAACCUCUCAACACCAUUAACUAACCAUUACAACCACCGUGAAAAUCCCACAACCAGACCACUGAUAGCUUCAUUUUAUUUACUUCUUUUUAUAGUUUUUUUUAGCACAUUCCAUUCGCAUUUUAGUUAAUUUUCAUGCAUAUUUUCUUUUUUGUUAUUUUUAUGACCAUUUCGGGUACUUUCUAGUUUCCUGAGCAUUAUUGCAGAUUUUAAGGAAACUAAAAGAGCGGGAGUGUGCGGGAUCUUUUGGAAGGCGAUUGGACUUGAAGAGCAAUGGGGAUUUCGUGCUUGGUAGUUGUGGAGGUGAUUCAUGGAGUGGGCUUGUCAAUUACUUGGAGGUGUGGAAGUGUUGAGCUUUAAAUUUGAAAGGGCAAGAGAGAAUUCUUGGGUGUGCAAGAUCGAUAUUUAGGAGUUUGCGGAAGUUUUGAGUGAUGUGGAAAGACAAAUUGGGCUUUAAUUGAAGAAAUAUUGAAGAAAAAUGGGCUAGGAGCUGAUUGGAUUCGAACUGGGCCAAUGGAUUAGCUGUGGGGGCCCAAGACUUGAAGAAGCCCAAAAAUCCCGUCGAAGCCCGCGGCUCGCGUAAGAUUACCCGCGGCCCGCGUGUAUUCCUGACAAGGGCAAUUUCGGGAUUUUACUUAGAGCUCUAUAUUGGGAAGGUUGGUGUGCCUCUUCAGCCUUAUCUUGGAGGUCCGAUUUUGAUACUUUCUCUCUGGAGUUUGGAGCACUUUUGGAGGCCAAGAACACUUGAAGAAUAUCUUCUUUUCAUCUCUUGAUUAUUGUCAAAUGUUUAGUACAAUCUUAACUAACUUUUUUUCUUUGAGUUUAGUCAUGCUUGACUAAACUAAUCUUGGUUGACUUUUUGUUGAAUCCUUUGAACUUUUGUUGGUUGUUGAAGAAUCCAUGAACUUGUUCUUAAAUCUUUAUGGAAAUGUUUUGUGUUUUAUCAUAAUAUCACUACUAGUAUGUUUUUA